rnacentral:lncRNA from 1 species
CCCUGUAGAGACAGGAUCUCACUAUGUUUCCCAGGCUGGUCUUGAACUCCUGGCCUCAAGCAAUCCACCUGUCUCAGCCUCCCAAAGUGCUGGGAUUAGAGCAUGUGUGUGUGUGUCUAAGAGUAGACUAUGAGCUUCUUGGUGGCAGAACCUUAUUCAUGUUUCUUUCCCAUUGUCUGGCAUGGCACUGUGUGUAGCUUAGUAACAAUGAUGGUUGUGAUGAUGCUGAUAAUGGCCUCUAUUACUCAGCUUCCUGUAUGCCAGGCACUAUGCUAACUGCUUUGCAUACAUUACCUUAUUUAAUUCUCAUAACAAUCCAGGUGGAAAGUAACAAACAGUAUAUUAUGUCCAUAUGUUGUGAGGAAACUGAGGCUUAAAGAUAUUCAUGGACAUGACCAUGGUCACACAGCUAGUGAAGUGUUGGACCUGGAAUCUAAAACCAUUUCUGUUCUUUGUCCCAAGCCCAUGUUGUUUAUUACUAUGCUCUAUAUUUGUUGCCUGAAUUAAUGACAGAGUGGUUAACCAAGGUCCCCUGUCCUACCCAGGCCCUGUGACUCAGUAAAGAGUUAAAAUGUGACAAACAGAACUGGACAAUGGUGAUGUCCUAGAAUGAACCAGUUUUAUUCACCAGUAGAAGAGAAACUUUCAGUGUGGGUAAUAAGAGAUUGAGGGACGACCUGUGUCAAUGGAUAGCUCCAAAUGAGAGGAGUGCAGUGGGUUUAAGAGAAAGAGGGGAGAAAAGAAAGUACCAUAAAAGGGAAACUUAAACAAAGAGCAAAGUAGAAAAAAAAAUUCUUUUGAGAGGAGGUCAUUUUUCAUUCCCAGAAACUUCCAAAGUGAUGCUUUUAACCCCACAUCUGGUUCAGAUUCCUGCUCGAAUGCUCAGAGGUAGAACAACAAAGCAAGUGGAAAGGUUUGGGCACGCCUCUGUCCGUGGAGCUGCCCUCCCUGCGCCCUUCCCCCUGAGGAAUAUCUGCUUUGGAAGCAAAUGAUGGAAAGUUUUGUCCAGGUUGCCUUCCCUCACUUUUGCGCGUGGGUGUGAGUUUGUGUACCCGAUUCUACUGUGAGGAGUUCAGGUUGCUUUACCUGCUGUUGCGUCUUAACAGGGUGAGACAUGUGCCUGUGGUUACAGGCCUGUCCCAGGAGAACUUGUCCUACUGGAUAUGGAAAUCAUUCAAGCAAAGUGGGAGGCUAGGUUGUCUUAUUUUCGUGCCGAUACUUGGGUUGCUUUGCUGAACUGAAGCAUGAGAGAGAGAUGGGAUGAGAAGCAAACCAUUUGCAUGUAUCAUUCCUCCUGCAGUUCUGGAGCUGUUAGCCAAAAGUGCCAUUUUCACAGACAAAAGGCAGGAAAAAGAAAUGUCCCCCAUCAAAAAAAAUCACAGGGACCAGUGUACUAUUCUGCCUACUUCCUUGAACAGGG